CCUGGUGACGACAAUGGCUGGGGUCUUGACUUGCCAAGAUCUGGAAACGGAGAAGGGACUGGAUCUCCAAACUUGGACUGCCUUGGACUGACCCUGGCCUGGAAGGUGUGGGCUCAGGACUCCGAGCUCAAGUCAGUCUGUUCCCCCAACCCCUAACCCACUGCAUCCGGGUGAGGAGUUGGGCCCGAGCGCCACAGCGCAGAUAGGGUUGUUAGGAGCGAAAGACUGGAGACCCAGGGACUGUGGGGCUGGGCUGGUGGGGCCACUGCUACCGACUAAGCAGUACGGGCCGCCUGGAAGACCGAAGGCGGAGUUCGCUGAUGCGGAAGCCAAGGCACAGGGCAAUAAGGAUCCGCGCCAUUUCUUGUGAUGUCACCUGAAGCCUUGGCGGGUAGCUGCCUCUCAUCCAUUCGGAGGACAGGGCUCCAGCCACCGGCAGCUCUGAAAGAGUUUGAAGAAUUUAUUGUUCACAGAUGGUAUUUAAAUGGACUUAUUUCUAAAAGUCACAUUCCUUUAUUACUUAUUUGUUAUUAGAAGUACCCAUUUUCAUAUGUGUUUAAAACUAUUUGUGUCUCAAAUUCUCAGGAGAUUGAUGCAUCCCAG
rnacentral:lncRNA from 1 species